rnacentral:lncRNA from 1 species
UGAGGGAGUAAUGGUUAGCACGUAGUCAUAAGCAAUAUACACUUUAACACGUAUCGUAAAGAGAGAAGCCACUUAAUAUCAAUAUUAAUAAAUUGUUUAAAAGCCUUUUCCGAAGCAAAAUAGUGAUUAUUUAUAAUAAUUUUUUUGAUUAACAUGAAGAUAUUUCGAGUUUAUAGAAAUGAUAUAGACUAAUUUUCAAUUGGAAAUGCAGCUAAAAAAAGUUUUUGAGUAUUAAAUGAUGUCUAAAACAUAGCUUUAUAUCUGUAUGACCAUAAAGUAAAAUAUAAUGGGGCAUCUUCGAACCCGGAUAUCUCUAGUAACUUAUCAAUAUGUAAACUAGCUAAACCACAUGAUAAAAAAUCGAAAGCGUUUAAUUCUUAUAAGUUUUUCUCCGACAAAGCCAAUAUCACAUCCGAGAAAAAUAUUAGAAGAUAAAGUUCUGUUAAAAUAGGGCAAUGUUUUCGUAGUUUAGUUUUAUCAAGUAUUUUAAAUUUUGUCGACUUAAAUAAAAAUUUAAAAAU